rnacentral:rRNA from 1 species
UACAGGGGGGGCAAGCGUUGUUCGGAAUUACUGGGCGUAAAGGGCUCGUAGGCGGCCAACUAAGUCCGACGUGAAAUCCCAAAGCUUAACUUUGGAACUGCGUCGGAUACUGGAUGGCUUGAAUUCGGGAGAGGGAUGCAGAAUUCCAGGUGUAGCGGUGAAAUGCGUAGAUAUCUGGAGGAAUACCGGUGGCGAAGGCGGCAUCCUGGACCGACAUUGACGCUGAUGAGCGAAAGCUAGGGGAGCGAACGGG